rnacentral:lncRNA from 1 species
CCAGGGAUACUCAAUAAUUCAAAUAAUGCAAAUGGUUAGUCCAUAAUAAUAGUAAUCAUAAUCGUCACAUGUCACAAGUCAUAAUCCAAGUUCUGGUUUAACAGUUUUUCCUCCGAAGACCGACACUAAGACCGACACUUGACCCAUCCCAAACUGUAGUCCUUAACCAUGGACACGGCUAUUCGAAUAGAGGUAUAAUCUCUGCAGAGGGUGUACUCUUUACCCACGGGUAACGGAUUUCUUUAGUCCGUCGGCACUAAUUCCGUCUACGGUCUUUUAAUUGAAAACACGCCUGACCUGCACACACCAGCUUAACUUACCGGUGUCUGGAAUCACCCACGACACCUGUCAAGCGAAACUCUAAGUGGGGAGGCUACAACCUCGACGUAGCAUGGGAUCACAAAAUUUAUACCGCGCGCAAACUAGGGGAGCUACCCCUUCGGUUACAACCGAAACACCCAUGCCCCCGGACCGGAUGACUGGCUUUAAUCCAUGGCCAUGGGACCCUCAUCACGGCCUCUCUGUACGGUGUGUGCUAGAAAGGGGUUGACAACUUACUGAACCGUACCCUACCUAUGGCAGGGACAAGUGGUAGUACGAAGCAAGUGUGGGGGUUACUGGACAAGACUCGAUCUAAGGCCGACUCAGGAGGUUCAAGUGUUCCCUGCAUGAUUAGCAUAACAAAAAUAUUCCAAUAACAGAUAAGCUUAACACUCAUCAAGCUCCACCAUGCCAUACCGGGCAUACUCGUCUCAACGAGGGACUAGGGACAAGCUCGCGUCUACCCAAGACCGCGACUUUCCCGACUUCCUUCCGGCAUGCAUGAGAAGCUUACGAGGACGAUCACUAUCACCAGCAUAUCCAUUUAUAACAGCAAGGAAAACUCCAUUUUUCACUCAUGCGUAUGAUCUUACCGUCACAUAAAAUAGCGUAUGCUCCAAGUCAAGGUGAUGUUGUAACCGUAUCAACAACAUCCAAAAAUAUUAAGCCAGGGUUCAGAAUGCUUGCCUUCAAGUGUAUGCAUGUGGGGGUGCACUUUUUGAAGGUUGCCUUUUCUCCAAAAUCCUAUUUUGAGAAAUAUUCAAAUAACACACAUUUCAAAUACAGUACAAAAAGUUGUCCCAAAUAUUUUUGAAAUAAAUCUUAAAAUAAACUAGAUGAAAUUUGAGAGAGGUAGGAAAAAGAAUCAGCUCAUUUGGAGUUUUAUUUUAAAAGAUAUAGCCAGUCAAAGUUCUGUUUUUAAUAAAAUCAGAAAAAGAAAACGCUUCGGGGAGAAUACGCUUUCGAAGCAGAGGAGACGUACUCGGGAUUUUGCGCCAUCACUUAACCAGAGUGGAUGGGCGCGCGGGUCGCUGACAGUGGGUCCAGGGGGCCCACUGGUCAGGUUUGACUGGUCUUCCCUCCCUCCUCUCUCUCUGCCCGAACGGUGGCGGGCCUCCGGUGAUCGCCGUCGACGAACGGCGGCUCUUCGAGGGCACCUGAGGGCAGGGAUGGACCCGCCAGACCUGGGCGGUCCUCCCGGUGGUCGUUGGGCAGGUGGGGACGGAGGAAGUCACCGGCGGCGAGCUCCGCGGCGGACGGUGGUUCGGGAGCAAAGAGGGCUUCGGGCUAUGGUGGUCCUUGGUCGAGGCUGAGGCGCUAGGCAGCUCCGCAAGACUGUGGGGAGACGUUUGGUGGCGUUGGAUAGGCGGGGGAGGGUCCGGUUGCGACGCAUGGCACCGAGCUCGGCGGCGGCCGAACUGGCCGGAGACUAGGAAGGAAGCCCUUCCCCAUCGAUUGCUGGCUGCGGGAGUACUAUGGGGGUGUCCUGGGGUUGCCUGAGUGCUCAGAGGAGCUCGGGGCCUCCUUAUAUAGGCGCGACGGGGCUGGCUCCGCGGUGGUGGAUAAGAACGACGGCGAGUCGCCGUUCUGUAGCUGCAGGGCGUCGUGGCGGCGACGAGCGCGAGCCGACGAGCAUGUGGAUAGGAUCGGGCUGUUCCCAGGGGGCAGCUGGCGCGCGCGGGUGGCUUGGGCCGCGCCGUCCAUGGCAGAGCCCGCUGCCGACGCCGGCGUGCCGCCAAGGAAGCUCUGACGGCGGCGCUGUAGGGCGCCAGGGAGGCUUGGAGGUUUCUGACGAGUGGGCGAGUGCAUGGCGCGGCUCUGCAGGCGAGCAAGGGCCAGGGGUGUGACGCGGCGACCCGUGCGCACGCACGUGCAAAACGCGUGCUCUGGCCGCGCCCAGAGCACGCACACCAGGUGUUCGACGAAAAGCCAGCGCGCUCUAGAGAGCUUGGGUGAUGCGGGUAGUCAACAGGCCAGGGUUAGGGAUAGCUAGGAGGUUUGUGGACAUGCUGGAUGGGUCAGGGGCUCAAGUCCACAAUGCAAACUAGAAGACCUGCCAAAACUGUUCCUGCACACAGGGUGUUCUACAGAAUGCCAUGGGCAUCUAGGCAACUCUUGGGGUGGCCAAACUCUCCAGAUCCUAGUCUCUUUAGGAGCUCAAGAAGGUGGUAAGGUUAGUUUGGCAAAAACAGGAACUUGUUAGUGCAAGUUUUGAGAAAAUCAGUUUUGGGCAGAAACUAAAGGCUAUCAUUGCAUGCACUAAACAUACUCCAAUGGGUCCAAUCUCCUGGACUUAAGUGUUUGGUAGGGAGGACUAUAAGUAGGGAAAAAGCUGAUGGGUACUAGAGCAAAAUAAAAUGGGGUUGCAGUACAAAUCACCAAACUGGACCAGAAUGGAAAUGAAGAUGUUUCACUCAAAUCUUUCAUAGAACAACACUGGGUUUUUGCAUGAAGUUGCAUUAUGAGCAUCUACUGACAUCUCCAAACCCUUGGAAGAAUUUUUAGAAGAAUAUUUAAAUAGGUUGUAGUGCAAAAAUACCUACUGGACCAGAUUUGAAAAAAUUGAUGUAGAGCUCAAAUCUCCAAUAACCCAAAGAUAUUUUUGCAUAAAAGUGAUGUGGAAGCCUCACAUGACCUCCCCAAAUUUUGGUGAAAAUUUUAAAUGUAUUUAUCAAAAGGUUGCAGUGAAAAAGGGGCUCCAAAUUUAUGAAAGAUCAUUUUAAAAGAAUCAAGCUCAUGAAAAACAAUUAUGCAAAUAAAUCCACUGAUAAAGAAUUGUUUUUAUAAAGAGUGCAUACAAGUCCAAUAAUACUUUUGAAGAGUUUCCACUAAAGGUAAAAACCCACGAUAUUAAAGAGAAGAGGGGUUCUGAAAUCAAAGGAGAAAUCCAGAAAAAUAAAAAUUUAAUUUCCUGGCAAAAUUUUAAUUAAUAAAACAAGGUCAAAUUUUUGGGGUGUUACAACACUACCCCCCUUAAGAAAAAUCUCGUCCUCGAGAUUUGCUAAGGGUUGUUUUUUUUAAAUAAUACUCCCAUUAGUUGAAACCAAGAGUUUGCUCAUAGCACGAAUUUAGGGUACAAACAUAAGCUGCAACACACAAAUAAACAUAGCUAUGAUGUUUAUAAUGAAAAUGGCAAAAGGACAGGGUCCUGAGAAAACGUCUUUGGUACUGGGGCGCACAAGCAGACAUCCUUUAAUAAUGGUGAUACAGGAUCACACAAUUACAAGGCGUAGAAAAUAAUAAGGCUCGUUACUACUCGAGUGACUUAGUCUACUCCGUUAAUAUCUAAGCGGGCUUGCCUAGUGGACGAUGAAGCUUCUCCACGGGUUUCACCGUCGGGAUUAGCCGGAUGAGGUUGCGUGGCUGCUGGGUCGGGGUAGCGAUGAUGACCAUCGCGGGGGUUGUUGGCCACAACCCCGUUGGAGUGUGUUCCCAAAAGGCAGCGAAGCACUUCUGGGGACAUCAAAGUAUUUUGGUCGAUGGCUGGGGCAGACCUCAAGGGCUCGAUUGGGUGUCCGAACAGCACGACUGGGUUGUCGGCGUCGGGCUCCACUUCUCCUCUCGCCGAGGCUCGGCGAAACAGUUCUCCACGAGCUGCGAUCAGAUCAAGAGUGAUUUGAUCGAACAGCUCCUCUAGUGCACUUACAUAGCGCACCAGAUGCAAUAGUGCAGGAUCUGUCUCAUGAUCUCCGUUGGCAACCUGGGGUGGCCUACCAUACCCGUUACGACUGGGGUAGUAGUAGAACGAGCGACAGUUAACUCUGGGCGACAAGUGCCGGAGUUGAACUAUAGCUUCUCGAGCUGCCAGUUGGAUGGCUUGUGGCUCAAAGGAAGUGGUCCUUCCAGUGAACCUGUAGGGGCGUUCUGGCGAUAGACCCCUACCAUAAAUGUGUACAGUGGCCCAGAACUGACGGCUCUCACCGCCCAUGAGUUCUUGGUACACAACAUAUUCUGGGGGCUCUCCUAAUGCAUAGGCACGGCGAGUGAGGUUUGCGAGCACGGUCACAAAACCUCCAAGGUUGGUUGAUGUGGUCUCAUUGUGAACAAUGGGGCCAGGCAUCGUGACUUGGCUUGGGAAAGAGGCUGUGCUGUGCUGGGUUGAGGCUAGCGUGCCCUUUUUAUAGAAAAAGGGGCGGAGUCUUCCUUCGCACGCUUGCGAAUGAGACAAGUUAGGUGUCGGUCACUGGCGCGUGAUCGACAGGCUAAGCUGAUAGGUUGGGCACCGACUGCCAAAAGCGUCGGGGUCACUGUGUGGCUAUCUUACACGAGAAGCUUGGCCGGGGUUAGGUUAAGGUCUGGUGGGUUGGUUAACCUAGGUUUAUUGCCCUGGCUAAGAUAGGGUUAGCCAAUGGUCAGCCUGGUUCUGAUACCAAGUCUGUCAGGACCGGAUUUUUGGGAUAUUAAUUCUCCAGAAAAUGGCCCUUGUGCUCACCAGCCCCAGGAUUACUGUUAGCUGAUGAGGCACCAACUUGAUACAAGAAAUUCCAAGCAAGUACAAAAUAUGUAGUACAAGACCAUUGUGGCCUAUGAGUACAACACUUGGUUUCUAGUGGUUGAUGGCGGAAGCGGUUUGGGGUUCAUCUGCGUCUAUGGGACUCCAUUUCCCACAAGAACAGCUGACCAGGAUAACUCCUAUCUUCGCGAGGCUGCUAUCACCUUUACAUGGGUUCCGGGGCUGUCGUCGUAACGCUCUUCUCCACGCAAGAAAUCUGGCCAAGACAAUAGCCAGGGACAAGCCAGUGAGUAUGUUUGAAUGUACUCGCAAACAUUUAGAACAUGGCUAUAAUAUAACAAGGGGUAAUCAUGCUCCGAAAAUAUUCUAUGACCAUAACGUUAGUCACGAGAUAAACAAAAUUCAUGAUGCACACAUGCAAGUUAUUCAUGUAAAAUGCAUUACGGGAGUAGACAUAGAAUGCAUCGAUCGAGUGUCUGAAGCGACGCCUCGAAAGGAAAAAAAUCAUGCCUCAGUCGGGCGUCUGAGCGACACCACAUAAAGGGCUUAUAAAUAAAAGAAAUAACAAGCAUGCCACAGUCGGGCGUCUAUGCGACACCACAUAAAGGGCUUAUAAAUAAAAGAAAUAACAAGCAUGCCACAGUCGGGCGUCUAUGCGACACCACAUAAAGGGCUUAUAAAUAAAAGAAAUAACAAGCAUGCCAAAGUCGGGCGUCUAAGCGACACCACAUAAAGGGGUUAUAAAGGAUAAUCACAGUGAAUAUCCAGGAGGUAGAACCGUCCCAGGGAUACUCAAUNNNNNNNNNNAUAGAAUGCACCGAUCGAGUGUCUGAAGUGACGCCUCGAAAGGAUAAAAAAAUAAAUUAUGCCACAGUCGGGCGUCUAUGCGACACCACAUAAAGGGCUUAUAAAUAAAAGAAAUAACAAGCAUGCCACAGUCGGGCGUCUAUGCGACACCACAUAAAGGGCUUAUAAAUAAAAGAAAUAACAAGCAUGCCACAGUCGGGCGUCUAUGCGACACCACAUAAAGGACUUAUAAAUAAAAGAAAUAACAAACGUGCCACAUUCGGGCGUCUGAGCGAAACCACAUAAAGGGCUUAUAAAUAAAAGAAAUAACGAGCAUGCCACAGUCGGGCGUCUAUGCGACACCACAUAAAGGGCUUAUAAAAGAAUAAUCGCAGNNNNNNNNNNAAAGAAAUAACAAGCAUGCCACAGUCGGGCGUCUAUGCGACACCACAUAAAGGGCUUAUAAAUAAAAGAAAUAACAAGCAUGCCACAGUCGGGCGUCUAUGCGACACCACAUAAAGGACUUAUAAAUAAAAGAAAUAACAAGCAUGCCACAGUCGGGCGUCUAUGCGACACCACAUAAAGGGCUUAUAAAGGAUAAUUAAAUAACAAGCAUGCCGCAGUCGGGCGUCUGAGCGACACCACAUAAAGGGCUUAUAAAGGAUAAUCACAGUGAAUAUCCAGGAGGUAGAACCGUCCCAGGGAUACUCAAUAAUUCAAAUAAUGCAAAUGGUUAGUCCAUAAUAAUAGUAAUCAUAAUCGUCACAUGUCACAAGUCAUAAUCCAAGUUCUGGUUUAACAGUUUUUCCUCCGAAGACCGACACUAAGACCGACACUUGACCCAUCCCAAACUGUAGUCCUUAACCAUGGACACGGCUAUUCGAAUAGAGGUAUAAUCUCUGCAGAGGGUGUACUCUUUACCCACGGGUAACGGAUUUCUUUAGUCCGUCGGCACUAAUUCCGUCUACGGUCUUUUAAUUGAAAACACGCCU